UCACGUCGUUAGUUAAACCUGAAAAUUAGUGAAAAUGGGAGUCAUUUUAUAAUAAAAAAAAACGUUUUUUGAUAGGUAAAUUGCCGUGGAAGCGACGCUUUUGGUAGAAGAAAGCGAGCAGUCCUGGACAAUGAGGACGAAGACCCGAACAAUCUACUGUCUGGACAAUUGCGCGAAGAAAUCACCAUCCAAUCCAACGCCAUUCUCACCCUGGAAAGACGAGAAGAGCGCUACGCGGACUCCUCAUUGUCCCCGGACGCUCAACGUUCAGAAGAUAUUUGCGUGUCCAUGAUAGGCUUUAUCAUAGCCUUAGUGAUCACUGCCUUAUUGGCCUUGGUGGCCGUGGCAGUGGCGGUGUCUUGUUGGUUGAUGGCCUACCGUCGAAGGCCAAAAUCCACCGGACCAUUGCCACAUCCUCCCGAAUUUCCCAACCCGCUGUUCACCACACCUGAACCGAUGGCCGAACCAAGUCCAGACUACCUCACAUAAUCAAGCUACAAACUAGCCUUAGAUUUAUUUAAUAUUCCGAUUUUACCAGUUUAGUGUCCGAACACUAACAACGAAUACUCGACGAGAACCUUAAUUUAUGCUUUUGUUUUUGUAUAUUAUUGAUGGGGCUUCACGGUUGUUGUUGCGGCGCCUUUCUUGUAUCCGUCCUCAAAGCUACUCACUCACGAUCUUCAAUACUGCCAGAAGAAAGGGCCCAGCCACGUGAAGCUCUAUAGCAAAUCAUGCUUUAGAUAAAAUGAGGGAAACUACUGGAAGGUUUGCCAGCUGGCAAAAUGCUCCGUGUUCAGCUGGCAAGCGUUCCCGCUAGCUUUUCCAGGGGCUAUUUUCUCAAGUUCGCACUUGUCAUGAUCAAGGGAAUUUCAUUAAUGGUGGCGGUUCUUAAAGGCUUCAAUUUAAACUCUCUAACUAUAUCAGUUUAACGCCCCUUGGAUCUCUUUUGAACGGAAAAUCCUCCUAUUGUAUAUACGAGUAUGUACUCCUCCUUCGCAUAGCCUCUGGAAGACUUAGUAUUUCAUAAGACUAUACAUAUAUUAAAGCCUUGUAUAAAGUGAAUGAAUGCGAUGAAUGUGAAUAUGGAGGACAACUCCCUUGCUAUUUGGUGCUGACUGAUAUAUUCCUUAAAAGCAGUCAUUUAGUCAAUCUUCUCUGUUAAGUGUAAUUAUUUAAAACUUAGGAGGAAACUGUGCGUAACACAACGUUCUGUUAAAUUUACUAAAAUCUGUUAAAAACUUAACGCCUCCAUCAAUUACUGUAGAAAAAUACGUACUAAUAAACAUAAUUUAUAAGUUCAUUGUCGAUUUAAUUGUAACGAUGAGUCUUUAAUUGUCAUACUUGUGAUAAUCGCUUCUUUAAUAAAAAAAAACCGUUUAAUAAUGAA